rnacentral:rRNA from 1 species
CCUACGGGGGGCAGCAGUGAGGAAUAUUGGUCAAUGGGCGAGAGCCUGAACCAGCCAAGUAGCGUGCGGGAUGAAGGCCCUUGUGGUCGUAAACCGCUUUUAUCAGUGAAUAAAGUGCAUCACGUGUGGUGUCAUUGCAGGUAGCUGAAGAAAAAGGACCGGCUAAUUCCGUGCCAGCAGCCGCGGUAAUACGGAAGGUCCGGGCGUUAUCCGGAAUUAUUGGGUUUAAAGGGAGCGCAGGCGGGAGUAUAAGUCAGCUGUUAAAUAUCAGGGCCCAACUCUGUUAUGCAGUUGAAACUAUAUUUCUUGAGUACGCACAGGGAUGGCGGAAUUCAGGGUGUAGCGGUGAAAUGCUUAGAUAUCCUGAAGAACUCCGAUCGCGAAGGCAGCCAUCCGGAGCGUAACUGACGCUGAGGCUCGAAGGUGCGGGUAUCGAACAGGAUUAGAUACCCGUGUAGUC